rnacentral:lncRNA from 1 species
GCACCACGAACCCCCUCCCCUCCCCUGGCCGUCUUCUUUUUUUCUUUUGCUUUAUCGCCUCGCCCAACCCCUCGUUGAUCGUGGCGCCCGCCUCGCCGACUCCCCCCCUCCACCGUGCCCCCCUCCUCCUCCCUCCGCUAUGCCCCCCUCCUCUCCCCCUCUGCUACGCCCGAUAGCGAGAGGCUGAACUCCACCGGCCUCACCU